AGGAAAAAAUCAAAUUUAUUGGGCUUGGUUAUUCUGUAGCUGGAACAGAUUUCUCCAGGCAAAGGAUAUUUUACCAUGACAUUGAAUGAGACCCUAUUCCUCUGAGAGAUUAUAGUGAAUAGUCAAAGGAUAAAAAUAAUGCACUCAGAAUGAACUCAUCCUAAAGCAUAUCAUCUUCAUUUCCCCGGUCCUGAUGGGGGUGAUUCUGUCUAUAGUAAACAAGAUAAUCCACCCUCUGUUGUUUGACUCUUCUUGGACUGGAUGUACCAUUUAUCAUGAUGGAGAUACCUGAGAUACCACAGAUCUGUGGAGAGGAACUAUUUCAUCCAUAAUUCUGAAGAGACAUUUGGAGG